UAGGGAAUCUUCCGCAAUGGACGCAAGUCUGACGGAGCAACGCCGCGUGAGUGAAGAAGGAUUUCGGUUCGUAAAACUCUGUUGUUAGAGAAGAACAGCGCAUAGAGUAACUGUUAUGCGUGUGACGGUAUCUAACCAGAAAGCCACGGCUAACUACGUGCCAGCAGCCGCGGUAAUACGUAGGUGGCAAGCGUUGUCCGGAUUUAUUGGGCGUAAAGCGAGCGCAGGCGGUCAAUUAAGUCUGAUGUGAAAGCCCCCGGCUCAACCGGGGAGGGUCAUUGGAAACUGGUUGACUUGAGUGCAGAAGAGGAGAGUGGAAUUCCGUGUGUAGCGGUGAAAUGCGUAGAUAUAUGGAGGAACACCAGUGGCGAAGGCGACUUUCUGGUCUGUAACUGACGCUGAUGUGCGAAAGCGUGGGGAUCAAACAGG
rnacentral:rRNA from 1 species